ACGAUCACUUCAUGUUGAAACACCAGUUCCCAUAAAAUCACUGAAGUUAAGCAAUGUUGAGCCUGGUCAAUACCUAGAUAGGUGACCGUUUGGGAAUACCAAGUGCU